rnacentral:lncRNA from 1 species
GGGUUUUCAUAAAAUGAAAUCUCAAAUCAUCAUCACCUCCACAGAAAUCUCAAGAACAACAGCAACAACAACGCCUGCACAUCCCAGAUUGAUAAUAUUCUUCCCUAGUGGUGACUGACUGGUGCCGGAUUCCAUCAUCUGUUCUUUACAUAAUAAUCAUUCCUCUUCAAAUCUCACUGUAGAUCCAUCAUCUUCUUCAUAAAAAACCUAGGGUUUAUACUCUCUACUUUCGAUCUGCUCGAUCUGUGAUAUUAUCCGCUUCGAUCUGUCGUUAUCGAUUAUUAGAUAUUUAGAUCCAAAUGGAUGCGAUUGAAGAACUGAAUCAGCUUGCGGACUCGAUGCGGCAAGCUGCGGCUCUGCUUAACGAUGAAGAUGUUGACGAAAACAACAGCAGCAACAACGGCGGCGACGAUGGUGAUGGGAUGUUUAUAGCCAAAAAUUAACUAAGAUUGGAUGAAAACGUGAUUUUAUUAAAGCAAAGCCUGCACAUCCCAAAAAUUCCUUGUUAUAAAAUUCAAAUCCCAUUUCUGAAAAUAAGCAAAGAUUUCUACACCCAAAGCAAGAACAGAAAUAGCAAGAAAUGCUUUUACAAAUCUGUACAUAACCCUCUCUUUGUACUUAACUUCAUCUUUGGGUGUAGAAACACUGAUGUUUCUGAGUUAUCUAAGUUCUACUAAAGAAAAGUUGCUUGAUUUGUCUAUUGUGACAACUACAGAGCUUGGUGCCAUUUUAUUAAAGAUAAAUGUUCAAAUCCCAGAUGGGAUUUUGGUAGAAAGAUGUAAAAAGAGAUGAGGUGUAAUGAAAGGUGGAAGAGUGGUACCCGGUUGAGAGUGUUGGAGGGUGGUGGUUGGAGGUGGCAGUGA